rnacentral:rRNA from 1 species
UACGUAGGGUGCAAGCGUGUCCGGAAUUAUUGGGCGUAAAGAGCUCGUAGGCGGUCUGUCGCGUCUGCUGUGAAAACCUAGGGCUUAACUCUGGGCGUGCAGUGGGUACGGGCAGGCUAGAGUGCGGUAGGGGAGACUGGAAUUCCUGGUGUAGCGGUGAAAUGCGCAGAUAUCAGGAGGAACACCGGUGGCGAAGGCGGGUCUCUGGGCCGUAACUGGACGCUGAGGAGCGAAAGCAUGGGGAGCGAACAGG